rnacentral:rRNA from 1 species
CAGUCGCCGCGGUAAUACGAAGGGUGCAAGCGUUAAUCGGGAUUACUGGGCGUAAAGCGUGCGUAGGCGGUGAGUUAAGUCUGCUGUGAAAUCCCCGGGCUCAACCUGGGAAUGGCAGUGGAUACUGGCUCGCUAGAGUGUGUUAGAGGAUGGUGGAAUUCCCGGUGUAGCGGUGAAAUGCGUAGAGAUCGGGAGGAACAUCAGUGGCGAAGGCGGCCGUCUGGGACAACACUGACGCUGAGGCACGAAAGCGUGGGGAGCAAACAGGAUUAGAUACCCCAGUAGUCCCUGUCUCUUAUAA